AACGAACGCUGGCGGCAUGCCUAACACAUGCAAGUCGAACGAGAUCUUCGGGUCUAGUGGCGCACGGGUGCGUAACGCGUGGGAAUCUGCCCUUUGGUUCGGAAUAACAGUUGGAAACGACUGCUAAUACCGGAUGAUGACGAAAGUCCAAAGAUUUAUCGCCAGGGGAUGAGCCCGCGUAGGAUUAGCUAGUUGGUGUGGUAAAGGCGCACCAAGGCGACGAUCCUUAGCUGGUCUGCGAGGAUGAUCAGCCACACUGGGACUGAGACACGGGCCAGACUCCUACGGGAGGCAGCAGUGGGGAAUAUUGGACAAUGGGCGAAAGCCUGAUCCAGCAAUGCCGCGUGAGUGAUGAAGGCCUUAGGGUUGUAAAGCUCUUUUACCCGGGAUGAUAAUGACAGUACCGGGAGAAUAAGCUCCGGCUAACUCCGUGCCAGCCGCCGCGGUAA
rnacentral:rRNA from 1 species